GCUAAUACCGCGUAUAGUAGCGAGAUCGCAUGGUCAUGUUACGAAAGAUUUAUUGCUUUGAGAUGGGCUCGCGUCCGAUUAGGUAGUUGGUGGGGUAACGGCCCACCAAGCCCGCGAUCGGUAGCCGGACUGAGAGGUUGAACGGCCACAUUGGGACUGAGACACGGCCCAGACUCCUACGGGAGGCAGCAGUGAGGGAUAUUGCGCAAUGGGCGAAAGCCUGACGCAGCAACGCCGCGUGGGGGAAGACGGUUUUCGGAUUGUAAACCCCUGUCUUCGGUGAUGAAGAAAGUGACAGUAGCCGAGGAGGAAGCCACGGCUAACUACGUGCCAGCAGCCGCGGUAAUACGUAGGUGGCGAGCGUUGUCCGGAAUUACUGGGUGUAAAGGGAGCGCAGGCGGGACAGUAAGUCAGCGGUGAAAACCAGGGGCUCAACCUCUGGACUGCCGUUGAAACUGCCGUUCUUGAGUGGAGUAGAGGCAAGCGGAAUUCCGAGUGUAGCGGUGAAAUGCGUAGAGAU
rnacentral:rRNA from 1 species